UACAGAGGUCUCAAGCGUUGUUCGGAUUCAUUGGGCGUAAAGGGUGUGUAGGUGGCGCGCUAAGUCGGGGUGUGAAAUUUCGGAGCUUAACUCCGAAACUGCAUUCGAUACUGGCGUGCUUGAGGACUGGAGAGGAGACUGGAAUUCAUGGUGUAGCAGUGAAAUGCGUAGAGAUCAUGAGGAAGACCAGUGGCGAAGGCGGGUCUCUGGACAGUUACUGACGCUGAGGCACGAAGGCCAGGGGAGCAAACGGG
rnacentral:rRNA from 1 species